GGCUGAAAUUCGCCUUCAUGAAGCCGGAAUUGCUAGUAAUGGCAGGUCAGCAUACUGCCGUGAAUACGUUCCCGGGCCCUUGUACACACCGCCCGUCACACCAUGAGAGUUGGAGAUACCCGAAGCCUGUGAGCUAACAAACGAGGCAGCAGUCGAAGGUAGAAUCAAUGAUUGGGGUGAAGUCGUAACAAGGUAGC
rnacentral:rRNA from 1 species